AUGUGCAUACUCCAUAGAAAAAAACACCAAAAAAAGGAGGGGGUGAGGAGGAGUUGGAGGAGCAGGAGGAGGAGGAUUGGAGCGCAGGGGAGUUUGGAGGUUAUUAUGGCGCUGAAUUAUCCGUCGUGCUCAUUCUUGGUGAGCGACGAGUGCUCUGCCCUGAUGCGAGGGUGUGGAUGCUGGUCGGAGGAGGCCUCGCCCCUCUCGUCCCCAGGGGUCAACUCCAGGCGCUGGGAUGAUUUCGAGCCCGAUCCUGCGGAUCUAUUGCCCGUGGAUCCCUUCGGGAUGAACUUGGGGAACACCAUCACUGCAGCCAUCGCCAGUUGCCUCGACCGCACGGUCAUGUCUGGUGCAGGGCGUUUUGGAAGCAGUGACGGUGGCGCGGCCGACUUGAGUUUUUACCUGAAUCAUGCUAUUGCCGUCUCCCGGGGGCCAUCUUGCCUCCCGGGUGGCUUCGGGCGUGCUUUUGAGGGGCCCUUUGUGUUUGGAGGCCUUUAUGAGGCCGGAGGCGCCAACUGCUCUCAAGGGUUGCCUCCCCUUGUGUCCUGCUCAGGCUCAAUUGUACCUGGAGAGGAUCCAUCUACUUCUGGCAGUGCUGCAUUGUUGUGCCGUGAAGGAGUUGAUGCUGUGGGAGCGUCCUGCUCACGCCCAAUUGUACCUGGAGAGGAUCCAUCUACUUCUGGCAGUGCUGCAUUGUUGUGCCGUGAAGGAGUUGAUGCCGUGGCAGCGUCCUGCUCACGCCCAAUUGUACCUGGAGAGGAUCCAUCUACUUCUGGCAGUGCUGCAUUGGUGUGCUGUGAUGGAGUUGAUGCCGUGGGAGCGUCAUGCUCACGGCCAAUUGUACCCGGAGAGGAUCCAUCUACUUCUGGCAGUGCUGCAUUGGUGUGCUGUGAUGGAGUUGAUGAUGUGGGAAGUGCACCACAUGACGGGAUGAUGUAUGCUCUUGCCUAUCUUGGGCUUCGUGACAUCCUAGCUACAGAGAUGGUGUGCAAGUCUUUGCAUUCGUGGAUCCGCAGCGAGUUAUCGUGGAAAUGUAUCCACAUUGAACCGGUAUUGAGCGGGAAGAUCUCUGAUCCUGAUCUUCUAUUUCUGACACAGAAGAUUCCAGGUGCUUUGCAGUGUCUAAAUAUAAAUGACUGCAUAAAUAUCACCGACAAUGGUUUGAAUGCUGUUCUCCAAAGCAAUCCGACGUUAACAAAGUUGAGUAUUGCGCGCUGCCCGCGGUUAACUUUGGAUGGCCUUAUUGCCAAUCUAAAGUCAUUUAAUAUGAAAGCAGUGUCGGGUAUUAAGAGCCUCAGAAUUGACAAAAACUUCAAUUUACCAAAAGAGGAUUAUGAGGAGUUAUUAUCCUUGUUGAGCAUCGACAAGAGACAGGAGUUGCACAACUGGGCUCCGCGAUUCCGUCAUUCUAAUCAUUUUUUAUUAGAUUGCAAUGACGGAUAUGCUCUUGAUAUUGAGAUGUGCCCCAUCUGUCAAAGUUACAAACUUGUUUUUGACUGCCCUGAAGUGGAGUGCAGUGACAAGAGAUCUGGCAAGUGCCGAGCAUGUGAGGUUUGCAUCAAGAGAUGCCGGCAGUGUGGAAGGUGCUUAGAACGAAAUGAGAAGUUUGAAGAGAAAUUUGAUCUGGUCUACCUUUGCUACAAGUGUCGAGGCGAUCCGGCUUCACCAUCUCUUGGUGUGGAAAAGGAUCUGGUCUCUAUUUUAUCCAGUGGAAGAAUAGCUUCUCCUUGA
rnacentral:rRNA from 1 species